AGAUGAUUACAAAGAGCAUGGGAUGGGAGGCAGAGAGCCUCUCAGGCAAGGGGAGAAUGUGCAGAAACAGAAGGAAGGAAAAGCACCUUUGGGGAGUCUCCUGCACAGAGCCCAGGGUGGCUGAUGGAGAAGACUCUCAUCAGGGUCAUCUGCAUGUGGAUGAGGUUCCCAGAGAGGACUGCUGGAGGACAUUGCAUGUUUAUGAAUUUCACAGGUUCUUGUUCUGCGGCCCAGUCUGAAGUGCAGAGGUGCGAUUGUGGCUCCUGCAAUCUCUGCCUCCCAGGCUCAAGCGAUCCUCCCACCUCGGCCUCCCAAGUACCUGGGACUACAGGCAUACGCUGUCACAGCUACUUUUUGUAUUUUUUUGCAGAGACGGGGUUUCGCCAUAUUGCCCAGGCUGGUCUCAAACUCCUAGGCUCAAGCAAUCCUCCCGCCUUGGCCUCCCAAAGUGUUAGGAUUACACGCGUGAGCCACUGUACAGGGCUUUUUUCUUUUUCUUUUUAGAGACAGGGUCUCACUCUGUUACCAGGCUAGAAUGCAUUGGUUUGUUUGUCACUGAUUUGUCACUGAUUUGUUUGUUUCUGAGAUGGAGUCUCACUCUGUCAGCCAGGCUGGAGUGCAGUGGCAUAAUCUCAGCUAACUGCAACCUCUGCCUCCUGGGUUCAAGCGAUUCUCCUGCCUCAGUCUCCCGAAUAGCUGGAUUUACAAGCAUGAGCCACCAUGCCUGGCUAAUUUUUGUAUUUUUAGUAGAGACAGGGGUUUCACCAUGUUGGCCAGGCUGGUCUUGAAUUGCUGAUCUCAAGUGAUCUGCCCACCUCAGCCUCCCAAAAUGCUAGGAUUACAGGCAUGAGCCACCACACCUGGCCCACAGCUCACUGUUGAUACUGGAACUAGAAAGAAAUUAUUUAGGCCGAUACUGAGGGUUCUUACCAAGUAGCUCCUAAAUCAUUUCUUUUCUAACAAAGAGCAGCCUGAAAAAUUGAGCUGCAGACAUAAAUAAGCAAGCUGGAAGCUUGCAUAGGUAAAUGCCAACAGCUGUGCCAAUAGGAAAAGGCUAACUGGGGGUGGGGCAUGUUCAACAUGGAGGCUCCAUUUUCCCUUUUCUUUGUCAACCAUGUGUACAGUAAAGAAACAGGCAACAUGGCUCCGGCCAGAUAGAGGACCAUCUGCAUAAUAAAAGAUUCGGGUGGGGUAGCCAGCUUCUUUGCGUGCUAUGUAAAUGGCACACCUGGUCCAUCCAAUCUCUCGGGCACUAUGUAACUCAGACACUGCCUCCACAAGCUUGUCUACAAAACCCUUUGCGUUUCACCAUGAGACCAAAAGUCCCACUCAGGAGCCCCUCUCUCUGUAAGAGAGAGAGGUAUUCCCUUUUCUCUUCCUUUUGCCUAUUAAACCAAUGCUCUUAAAUUAACUUCUUAUGUGUCUGCGUUCUUGAUUCCCUUGGCAUGAGACAAGAAACCUCUGAUAUUUAUCCCAGACGGCAACAGCGCUUCUCUGUGACUUCAAACUCCUGGGCUCAAAUGAUCCACCCGCCUCAGCCUCCUGAGUACCUAGGACUUCAUGCACCACCAUGCCCUGCUAAUUUUUAACC
rnacentral:lncRNA from 1 species